UUAUAUUUUGACACUAUAAAUAGAGAUGCAUCUAGGUGAUAUUUUCGACCAUCAACUUAAGAGCAAGCUUGGAUACAGUAAGGUGCGGCACGAUUAAGACGUUGACAUUGAUUUGAAUUACUCAAGUUAAUUUUCAAAGCUCAAGUUUCAGGUGUGGGAUUUAUUUCAUUACAUGCUGUGUUUACCAUAUGUGAGUUAAAUUAAAUAUCGCUAUGGGCCAGUAUAAUUGGUCCAGGAUGGUAAAGAUCCUUGGUAUGCCGCAAUGCGAUAUACAUGUUAAAGUUAUGAUUGCAAUCAUAGUCGCCAAGGGCCAGCAUAAUUGGUCCAGGAUGAUAAAGAUCCUUGGUAUGUCACCGUUCGACUUUCAAUUAUGAAUGUUACAUUGGAUCAUAUGUGUUACCAUUUUAUUAACGUGGACAAUGAUUGCAUGUUCCCACACUGAGUGUACUCUGUAUGCUCAUCUCAUACUUAACAUUUUCAGGUUUUUAAAGGUCGGAGGAGCGUGGAAGGUCGAAUGGCGAAUCAAAUAUUUUAAAUUUAGCUAUACUUAAAGAUGUUAUGAUGAGUAAAGUGUUUUAAAUAAAAUGAUUAUUUCUUUAUUUUCACAUUAAA